AUAAUUAUUUUAUUUAAUUUAUUAUAUUAACGUAACUUAAUAUAAAUUAAUUAAAAAAUUAAAUUUUUUAUUAUAUAUAUAUGUAUAUAUAUGUGGUUCUAUAAUUGCCAUGUGGUCAAGGAGGUUCUUGUCCUCUUCCAUUACGGUACAAUUAUUAGAGGCGCAGGGACACACGUCAGCGCACGCGUAUGGAGGGGUCGCUUCGUUUUGUAAAAUGAGGAGACUGUGAUUGAGAUGAUGAUUAAGGAGUUAAAACCCAUAUUAUUGAUAAAUAAAGUAUGGUAUAUUAAUUGUUUGUGAAUAAAUAAUUUUUAUUAUAUCAUCAUUUAAUUCAUUACACAUUAAUUGUUAUGUCUGUCAUGUUUAACGGUAAUUAACCGUCCAUAAUUAAAAUUAACUACAAAGUUGAUUGCUACAACUGACUAAUUAAAAAUUUAAUUUAAUGUAAAACUAAAAUUUUGAAUAAAAUUCAUAUAUAUAUAUCUAUAUGUAUCUAUAUGGUAUUUUUUGAGCAAUAAACCCCAAGUGUUUUAUAGAAGCCCUUAGUUUGGGGCUCCGUGAAGACGGAAAGAAAGCAGAACCAUGAGUAGCGAGGGUAAUGGAUCUCGUCCGGCGGCCGUCCGGGACACGGAGACACGGGGACAGCUGCCGACAAGAGGGUCGGUGUUCGGCCAGGGUAAUGGAUCUGGUCAGGCGGCCAGCAGGGCUACGGGGAGACAGCGGGUCCCGCCGCCGAGAGGGGCGGUGAUUAAGAGAGUCGUUUCCGAAGUUGCUGCAUCUUUCUCUUCCUCCAGCUAGGUCAUCUGCUACUCUGGUCAGUCGCGUAAGAAGGGUUUUUUCUUCUUUGAUGCUGUGAUAUCAAUGUACUGUGACUAAAUUUGGCGGAGAAUGAAGUUGAUUCUGUAGAUCCAUGGAAAUUGUAACUAUUAGCGCUGGUGUGUAGCUAUGAACGUGGCCCAUCCUUCUUCUUCUUCUUGCUUCACUGUUCCGACGUGUGGCCUUUGCCCCCUUCGGAAAUCCUUCUUAAGCGUUAAGUAGUUCCGACAGAACAUCAGAUCCAGAGAUCACGAGUAAGAACAGGAAGAAGACGAUGGCCAUCUUUCCAGUCUAGAGAUUCACUGGUCCCAUGAAGGGUUUACUAAUUUAUUUUUUUUUUCCUUCUCCCUACAUUCCCAAAGUCGAUCCAAGCAUAAUUAACUCUAUCGUUUCAAGUUUGUUUGAACAGUGCAAUGACGGAAUGCAAUCCAAGAGAGAAUUUGAGUAAACCCUUCGUUAAGUUUUAGGUGAUAGUGUUGUUAAAUAUUAAUAGUUAAGAUCACAUGAAACUCAAACAAAUUAAGAAGUUCGAAGUUCACACGAUCGAGAAUCGAGCACAUGACCAAACUCAGUCGUAACACUUUCAGUACCUGUUGUUAAUUAAGAGUUGGUUAAACUACAUAAUUGGUCCCUAAACUUUGUACUCUUUAAUGGAUUGAUUACUAUACUUUAAUUUCUUGUCUAAACAAUCACUAACUUUUUGGUUUAUGUUAAAGUUAGUUUUCCUUUUAUUCUUCUCGUAUUUGGUACAAAGUAGAUCGAAAAGUCCACACUAUCUUCUAACUUCAACCCAGCGAGACUUGCAGUGAUUUAGAACAUAUUAUGGGUGACUCAAAGCUCCUCUAUCUCAUCUUCAGAAGAGAUGCAUAGAAUUAAUGAGAUAGAAAUAUAAACAAAUUAUGUGAAAAAUAAUAUUUAUUUAUUUUAACAUAUCUAAGCAUAUAUGAUACAGUUUUUCAUCUUAAGAAAUAAACUAGGAAAAAAGUUCACACUUAAUUAUAGCCCAAUUAAUAUCUAACAAUAUAUGUAAUGAUCCGAAUUUAAUUAAUUAAUGUUGUGUCAUGUUUUGAGGAUUGAGUGAUUAGCCUUGAUGUUUAAUAUUUUAUUUUUGGUAAUUAUUAAUUAAGUGUUGGGUCUAAAUUGGAACAUCUGAAUGUGUGUAAAGUUAUAUUAGAAUUGUAAUUUAGAUAUUCGAAUGGGGUAGUGAUGUAUUCGGAUGAGGCAUGUGACAUCCGAAUGUGGUUUGUGAUGUUCGGAUGUGUAUGUAUGUGUUUUGGGCCUCAUUCAAAUGGCAUGUGAAGCAUUCAGAUGUGUUAUUAGUUCUCCAUUCGAAUGGAGUCCUCUGUAGCACUCGAAUGACAUGAUUUUGAGUGUUUCAUUUGAAUGGCUUCCUAUAGCAUUCGAAUGACCCACGUUCCAAAAAAUCACUUACACCUUGCAACCUGAUUUUGACCAUGAUCAAGCUCGAAUCUUGAAAAACUCAAAAUAUGAAAGUUGUAGUUCUUUCUCUUGUCUUUCCAUAGAAUCUUGAAUUACCUCAAUCGGAGCUCGAACGGGAGAAUUAUGCCAAAAAAUCAAAGAGGUAUCGAAUCUGUCCAGAAUAUCCAUUUUUGUUUAAUUCAUUUCAUUUGAAUUAGUUACUAUAGCAUCCGAAUGGGCCUUUUUGAGAUUGAAUUACCAGACCACUUUCUCGAUUCAAAAGUUGGUUUUUCAGAGGCAUCUUGGAGAAUUUAUUCUCCAUCUUGUCACGUAUAAUUUUUCACUUCCAUCUGUCUCUCAUAUAUAUAAAAUAGUGGGUGUUGAGAGAAGAGGGAAUUAAAUUAGUUUUGCAGUGAGAGUCUGGUGUGCAUAGUAAAGAAGAAAAAGAAGAAGAAUGAGAAGUUCUGCAGACAAGCUUUUCUUUUCCUUUUUCCUUCCAUUGAUUCCUUUGAGAGUCUGGUGGGCUAGUUCUCUAUUAUGUGUGUGUGUGUAUAUAUAUAUAUAUACGUAUAUAUAUGGCUGAGGAGCAUGGGUAUACUUUGAGUUAAGUGACAGAAGGGUGAAUUAUAUAUAGAUAUUGCUAAGAUUCUAUUUCAUGGUGGGGCUCUUAAUUGUGCUAUUUGGUCGAGACCCUGUGUAUGGACGAGUCUCCAAGGUUUUUAAUUCCUUAUAUAUAUAUAUAUAUGUACAUGCAUGGCUAGUAAGGAGUUGGCUGAGGCGUUAAAAGGUUCUUAAGGGGAUUAUAUAUUUUGGUUGGAUAUUAUAAGGAAAUGCAUAUGCUUGUCUUGGUUGUGUCUAGUGAGCAAUUCCUACUAUUUUGUAUAUCUAAAGAAAGAUUGUAAUUUCUCUCAAUACCCGAUAUGGUGGGUCUUGUUUAUAUGGCUAUGAAGAGUUCUUUCCCUCUCUAAUUUAUUGCGAAAUGAAUAUAGGAUCUCAUAACUUAGAGCCAGGGGGUUGAUUUGUGGCCAAGAGUCUUUUCAUGUAUUUUAUUUUAUUUUCCAUUAUUAUGUCAUUUAAAUGCAUACAGGGACUUGGAAUUAUUCAUAUGGGGGUUUAUACAUGAGUGUGUGCUUGGUUAUGAGUAUGGCAGCGAUUUAAAUAUUUUUGUUGUUAGACACAAGAAUUACAUUUAGCAUGUGACUUCCUAUGUGGAAGAGGCUUGAGAGGAUACUUGGCUUAUGGGGUUAUGGGGGCUUUGUAUCCCUUUCGGUCUAUUACGCCACCUUUUAUAUGUUGCAUUGCAUAAUUUUGGCACCAGUUCUGAGAUACAACUGUACGGUGUCGGGUUUCCUGAGUUGAGUUUAUAUAUUAGGGACACUUUGGCGUGCCCCGAUUUAUAUUAUGGACGUUUAUGCGUGCCCCGAUUUAUAUUAUGGACGUUUAUGCGUGGGUGCUAGUAACAAGUUUGUGAUAUAGACUUGGGUGCUAGUACAUUUUCUUUGGGUCUCAAGAUCCAGUAUGUGCAUAUUUUUGUUAUGCAAUUGGUGCUUGUACUUCAAAUAUGAUUGGUCAACAUGUUUUGCAUGAGUUUUGCACUUGGGAGCGGGUUAUUCUUAGCCUCCUUAUUCUUGUCAGCCUUUCAUUUCUUAUAUAUAUUUAUUGAGUCUUGUGACUCACUUUUACUUUUCUUCAUUCCAAGUAAAGGCAAGGCCAAAGUUGAGGGUGAGUCUAAUGGUGCUGGACCUAUCUGAGUAGAUGGUGUACAGGGCAAUUCAGGUUAACUUUGCCAUAAGGCAGAGUUGAAUGAUAGGGUUGUCUCUUUUGAGUUGUUCUUUUUAGUUUGACUUGUAUGGAUGUGAACCCUGUAACCUUAUAUUGUGUUUUGAGAUGCAUGCUUGAAUUAUGGUUA